rnacentral:rRNA from 1 species
CGGGGUGAGUAACGCGUGGAUAACCUGCCUCACACAGGGGGAUAACAGUUAGAAAUGACUGCUAAUACCGCAUAAGCGCACAGUCUCGCAUGGGACAGUGUGAAAAACUGAGGUGGUGUGAGAUGGAUCCGCGUCUGAUUAGGCAGUUGGCGGGGUAACGGCCCACCAAACCGACGAUCAGUAGCCGGCCUGAGAGGGUGAACGGCCACAUUGGGACUGAGACACGGCCCAAACUCCUACGGGAGGCAGCAG